rnacentral:lncRNA from 1 species
GCCAGGGCCGAGACACAUCCGCACCAGCCCGUCUGCGCCGCGAGCCUACGGCCUGAUUUCUCCCCCUCCAUUGUUGUAGCUAACACAAAAGGCUACAACUCCAGUGUGGUCAAGGGGCCUGCGCUGAAUUACGCGCCAGGCCAUUCUUUGGGCCAGAGCCUUUGUGGGUUGGGAUGCAUCCCCUCUCCGUGCCAGAACUCCGGGCUGUCACACGCAGGCUGAAGCGCUUCGCAAGCGUGGGCGAGUUGUCUCCCUCCCUCCCUUCGUUACAUCCACCCACCUACCGCCUUUGUUCCUUUCAGCUGGCGGCCAGGCCCUCGUUUGCCUUUUGGCUGUGUUAAAUGGACAGUGUAACAAUGACUUGCUGAGGGAGACGUGCAUGAAGUUUCUGUGCCUGUGACUAUCUGAAGGCCCCCAAGGCAUGGAGGUGCAAUGGAAAGGACCAGAAGACAGGCUCUGCCUCUAGCUUGGAUGUAACACCUUAAAAAGGUCAUUUAGCUCCUCUGUACUUGGCUGUCCUUGCCUGUUAAAUGCUGAGAUUGAAC